rnacentral:rRNA from 1 species
UAAGCGCACAGUACCGCAUGGUACGGUGUGAAAAACUCCGGUGGUACAAGAUGGACCCGCGUCUGAUUAGCUGGUUGGUGAGGUAACGGCCCACCAAGGCGACGAUCAGUAGCCGGCCUGAGAGGGUGAACGGCCACAUUGGGACUGAGACACGGCCCAAACUCCUACGGGAGGCAGCAGUGGGGAAUAUUACACAAUGGGGGAAACCCUGAUGCAGCGACGCCGCGUGAGUGAUGAAGUAUUUCGGUAUGUAAAACUCUAUCAGCAGGGAAGAUAAUGACGGUACCUGACUAAGAAGCACCGGCUAAAUACGUG